UCAGCUCGUGUCGUGAGAUGUUGGGUUAAGUCCCGUAACGAGCGCAACCCUUGUCCUUAGUUACCAGCACGUAAUGGUGGGCACUCUAAGGAGACUGCCGGUGACAAACCGGAGGAAGGUGGGGAUGACGUCAAGUCAUCAUGGCCCUUACGGCCAGGGCUACACACGUGCUACAAUGGUCGGUACAAAGGGUUGCCAAGCCGCGAGGUGGAGCUAAUCCCAUAAAACCGAUCGUAGUCCGGAUCGCAGUCUGCAACUCGACUGCGUGAAGUCGGAAUCGCUAGUAAUCGUGAAUCAGAAUGUCGCGGUGAAUACGUUCCCGGGCCUUGUACACACCGCCCGUCACACCAUGGGAGUGGGUUGUACCAGAAGUAG
rnacentral:rRNA from 1 species